AAUGUCGUAACAAGGUUUCCGUAGGUGAACCUGCGGAAGGAUCAUUAUCGUAACAAAAUUGUGUUGAGGCAUGCAACGGCUGUCGCUGACCAAAAUGUCGUGCACGCCAGGGUGUGUCCUCUCACAUAAAAGUCCAUCUCACCCUUUUUGUGCACCACCGCGUGGGCACCCUUCGGGAUCGAACAGAUCCAGGAGGGGGCCUUGCGUUUUCACACAAACCCCUUUUUUGAAAACGUGUAGAAUGACCCCACUUUUAGCGAUAACACGCAAUCAAUACAA
rnacentral:misc_RNA from 1 species